AACCGGAUCCUCCUCACAACUGACUCCGGCAUGGUACCCAUUCCAACCCAAGAAGACGACUCAAGGGAGGACUGAUCUAUAUGUAGGCAGAUGGAUGAAUUCCAAGCCAUGAGAUAAAAUUUGCUUCAGAUCACGGAAGCUUGGGUUGAUGGAGUGCUUGU